AGAAUAUCGUACACUACAUAGGAUGAUCGAACACGACGUUAGUAUACUUGAAGCUGAUGAGCCUGGAUAUGUUUCUGAUGAAAGGGCUUUGCCCCCUCGACCUGCCGAUAAGUACAAGAUGCAAGUGCCAGAGGCGGUGAUAGAGAUUGCAGUGCAAAGCACAAAUGACGCAGUUACAAGAGAUCUGGUAAAUCUGAUUAGCAGAGCAGACGAAGAUGGUGUUUCUGAAACU